CUUCAUAAUAUUAUGAAUAUUUGAACAUAUUAAAAAUAACAAGGGACAAAUUAUAUUACACGACGGAUUAUAUGGCAUGACGGGUUUGAAUUAACAUUAAUAAAAAUUUAAAAUAUCAUUAACUUACCGCUUCAAUACGGAUUAAUUCCAAAUUUAUUAUUUUUUAACACCAUGAUUAGGCCUGGGAUAAUUACCCGAACCAAAAAUUCUGACCCGACCGAACCGAUAAAAUUGAAUUCGGUUCACAAUCGGCUACUACACAGAAACCGAUCGGAAUUUCAAAUAAUCUUCGGUUUUCUCGCCGGGUCGGGUCGGUCGGUUAUUCUGAUCGGUUAACCAAAAAUUUUAACCUAACUAUAACUACCUAAUUCUAACCCUAAACGACACUCAACCUCCAACCUCUCUCACCUUUGGUCGUUCUCAUCUCUCAAUUUUCUCUAUCGCAACCUAAUCUCACUGAGACAUUGAAGCUCAAUCUUGUCUUCUUCCUUCAAUUCUCAGCCUUUCUUAUUUCUUCAUCUUUCGUUCUAGCCUUCUAGGAAAAGACUCUUGUCCGUGUUCAUCCCUCGUUCUCAGUUUGGGUAAGGAUUUGAGAUUCAAGAUCUUGGAUGUCAAACCGUCUUUCUUCUCCGCCGCUGCAACCGCUUC